rnacentral:rRNA from 1 species
UACAGAGGGGGCAAGCGUUGUUCGGAAUUACUGGGCGUAAAGGGCGCGUAGGCGGCUCGGCACGUCCGUUGUGAAAUCGCCCGGCUCAACUGGGCGGGGUCAGCGGAUACGGUCGAGCUUGAGCAAGCUAGGGGGCAAUGGAAUUCCCGGUGUAGUGGUGGAAUGCGUAGAUAUCGGGAGGAACACCAGUGGCGAAGGCGGUUGCCUGGAGCUUUGCUGACGCUGAGGCGCGAAAGCGUGGGGAGCGAUCCGG